rnacentral:tRNA from 1 species
GCUGCUGUAGCUCAGUGGUAGAGCACGUCAUUGGUAAUGACGGGGUCGGAGUUUCGAUUACUCUCAGCAGCACCA